rnacentral:rRNA from 2 species
CCAUUUAAAGAGUGCGUAAUAGCUCACUGGUCGAGUGACUCUGCGCCGAAAAUGUACCGGGGCUAAACGUAUCACCGAAGCUGUGGAUUGACACCGUUUGGUGUCAGUGGUAGGAGAGCGUUCUAAGGACUGCGAAGCUAGACCGUAAGGACUGGUGGAGUGCUUAGAAGUGAGAAUGCCGGUAUGAGUAGCGAAAGAUGGGUGAGAAUCCCAUCCACCGAAUGCCUAAGGUUUCCUGAGGAAGGCUCGUCCGCUCAGGGUUAGUCGGGACCUAAGUCGAGGCCGAUAGGCGUAGACGAUGGACAACAGGUUGAUAUUCCUGUACCACCUCUUUUCCGUUUGAGCAAUGGGGGGACGCAGGAGGAUAGGGUAAGCGCACUGCUGGAUAUGUGCGUCUAAGCAGUUAGGCUGAUGAUGAGGCAAAUCCCAUCAUCGUGAAGGCUGAGCUGUGAUAGCGAGCGAAUUAUAGUAGCGAAGUUCCUGAUUCCACACUGCCAAGAAAAGCCUCUAGCGAGGAAAAAGGUGCCCGUACCGCAAACCGACACAGGUAGGCGAGGAGAGAAUCCUAAGGUGAGCGAGAGAACUCUCGUUAAGGAACUCGGCAAAAUGACCCCGUAACUUCGGGAGAAGGGGUGCUCUGGUAGGGUGCAAGCCCGAGAGAGCCGCAGUGAAUAGGCCCAGGCGACUGUUUAGCAAAAACACAGGUCUCUGCGAAGCCGUAAGGCGAAGUAUAGGGGCUGACGCCUGCCCGGUGCUGGAAGGUUAAGAGGAGUGCUUAGCUCUAAGCGAAGGUGCGAAUCGAAGCCCCAGUAAACGGCGGCCGUAACUAUAACGGUCCUAAGGUAGCGAAAUUCCUUGUCGGGUAAGUUCCGACCCGCACGAAAGGCGUAACGAUCUGGGCACUGUCUCAACGAGAGACUCGGUGAAAUUAUAGUACCUGUGAAGAUGCAGGUUACCCGCGACAGGACGGAAAGACCCCGUGGAGCUUUACUGUAGCCUGAUAUUGAAUUUUGGUACAGCUUGUACAGGAUAGGUAGGAGCCUUGGAAACCGGAGC